UCACCCGAUGCCAAGGCAUGCUGGGAUUGAACAGGGGAAAGCUGGCAGGUGUGGGAUGCCCGGCUUUGCUCGGGUCCAGACCUUUGACGGAGAGGUACAUGGACAGACGGGCAUCUCUGGCGCUUUAAUGAGGAGAGGUAUCACCUCCCAGAGGUUUGUUGUGCACUUCUGCUUGUCCUCCAAAAUGGCCGAUUAACUUCAUGGGCUUCCCAGCAUCCCGCCGCGCCCCUGUGUCGCUCGGUGUCUGUGUUUCCUCUGCACUUCUUUUUUUUUUUGUUGCUCUGAAGCUCCUGACUGCUUUUUUUGCUGUUAAAUCUGUGAUGGUUGUCCUCUUUCUCCCAUGUGCCUUAGUGUGUGUUUGUGUAUGUCUGUAAAUGAAGAACCCUGGAGGCAAACAAACAGACAGAUAGACUAUAUCUGUAUGUGGCAAAAAUGUGAGGAAUAAACAUACACAGACCAAUGCGAACAAAAAGAUGCGUAGUCAUAUAAAUUGCAGUGAAGUAAACUGCAGAUUCAGAUAUGUAAGACAACAGGGGGGGAAAAAAGGCGCAUUAGAAAUUAUGAGACAGACAGUAAGGUACAGAUGGCAGACAGAUGCCCAGACACACAGACAAAGAUCCUGGCGGGCAGAAGGACAGACAGACAAGUGGACCCUGUAGCAAUCAAGAGCAACAUCCCUCCUGCUCCCCCUGUGUCGUGAGGAUCAGGAACGAGAUUAACUUGGCACAAGAUCGCUGGCACGCUGACCAACAUACAGUAGGCAGCACUGAUUUGCAUCCGCUGACAGUCAGUAAGUCAUUCUGUGUAUUCAGUAUGUUGAAGACAUAGAUGAAGCAACACUCGGCUCUAAAAGGUUUUGUGUUGGUGUGACUGGCCUUUGAAUGUCGACAAAUGAGCCAAAGGGACAUUUUUUCUUUUGCUUCAUCUUUUCUUCCUUCCCCCGACUUCAACCCCCGCAGACACAUGCACUCCACUGAAUGAACAAUGCCAGAGUGCCAGUGCUGUCUUUACCACUUUCAUGGACUGAUGCUAGCACGUGGUGAGGUGCAGAGUUUUAGCAUGUGACUGGAUGUGUGUGUGUGUGUGAUCUAAAGUGUCUGUGGGAUUCUUUGUGGCAUGUAUCAGGGAUGAAGGACAAUAAAUUCAGCCAAUCGCUGUGCCCUGUGACCACCGAUCUGCAUGAGCGCAUGCAGUAAUAAAGGAGCAAGGCCAGCAUUGGAGCAGUGAUUUGAAUAUAAAUGAAUGUGAAUUUAAAUAAAGGGCUAUGUUUGAAUAUGUUAUGCUUUCAUCCAGGAAAUUUAUCACAACCAUCUGCAUAUUCAAGGCCUGGUGAUGGAUUAUGGUGGCAGAGAUGGAACGCUCCCACGGAAAUAAAAUAUCACCUAUGUAUUUCGGAAUGAUCCGCAUUGUGCGUGUGUGUAUGUGUUGUGUACUUGCAAAACAAAAAUCUGCAAGGGUCAUCUGUAGAUAAAACUCACAAGCAAAA